rnacentral:rRNA from 1 species
UUAAGCGACUAAGCGUACACGGUGGAUGCCCUGGCAGUCAGAGGCGAUGAAGGACGUGCUAAUCUGCGAUAAGCGUCGGUAAGGUGAUAUGAACCGUUAUAACCGGCGAUUUCCGAAUGGGGAAACCCAGUGUGAUUCGUCACACUAUCAUUAACUGAAUCCAUAGGUUAAUGAGGCGAACCGGGGGAACUGAAACAUCUAAGUACCCCGAGGAAAAGAAAUCAACCGAGAUUCCCCCAGUAGCGGCGAGCGAACGGGGAGCAGCCCAGAGCCUGAAUCAGUGUGUGUGUUAGUGGAAGCGUCUGGAAAGGCGCGCGAUACAGGGUGACAGCCCCGUACACAAAAAUGCACAUGCUGUGAGCUCGAUGAGUAGGGCGGGACACGUGGUAUCCUGUCUGAAUAUGGGGGGACCAUCCUCCAAGGCUAAAUACUCCUGACUGACCGAUAGUGAACCAGUACCGUGAGGGAAAGGCGAAAAGAACCCCGGCGAGGGGAGUGAAAAAGAACCUGAAACCGUGUACGUACAAGCAGUGGGAGCACGCUUAGGCGUGUGACUGCGUACCUUUUGUAUAAUGGGUCAGCGACUUAUAUUCUGUAGCAAGGUUAACCGAAUAGGGGAGCCGAAGGGAAACCGAGUCUUAACUGGGCGUUAAGUUGCAGGGUAUAGACCCGAAACCCGGUGAUCUAGCCAUGGGCAGGUUGAAGGUUGGGUAACACUAACUGGAGGACCGAACCGACUAAUGUUGAAAAAUUAGCGGAUGACUUGUGGCUGGGGGUGAAAGGCCAAUCAAACCGGGAGAUAGCUGGUUCUCCCCGAAAGCUAUUUAGGUAGCGCCUCGUGAAUUCAUCUCCGGGGGUAGAGCACUGUUUCGGCAAGGGGGUCAUCCCGACUUACCAACCCGAUGCAAACUGCGAAUACCGGAGAAUGUUAUCACGGGAGACACACGGCGGGUGCUAACGUCCGUCGUGAAGAGGGAAACAACCCAGACCGCCAGCUAAGGUCCCAAAGUCAUGGUUAAGUGGGAAACGAUGUGGGAAGGCCCAGACAGCCAGGAUGUUGGCUUAGAAGCAGCCAUCAUUUAAAGAAAGCGUAAUAGCUCACUGGUCGAGUCGGCCUGCGCGGAAGAUGUAACGGGGCUAAACCAUGCACCGAAGCUGCGGCAGCGACGCUUAUGCGUUGUUGGGUAGGGGAGCGUUCUGUAAGCCUGCGAAGGUGUGCUGUGAGGCAUGCUGGAGGUAUCAGAAGUGCGAAUGCUGACAUAAGUAACGAUAAAGCGGGUGAAAAGCCCGCUCGCCGGAAGACCAAGGGUUCCUGUCCAACGUUAAUCGGGGCAGGGUGAGUCGACCCCUAAGGCGAGGCCGAAAGGCGUAGUCGAUGGGAAACAGGUUAAUAUUCCUGUACUUGGUGUUACUGCGAAGGGGGGACGGAGAAGGCUAUGUUGGCCGGGCGACGGUUGUCCCGGUUUAAGCGUGUAGGCUGGUUUUCCAGGCAAAUCCGGAAAAUCAAGGCUGAGGCGUGAUGACGAGGCACUACGGUGCUGAAGCAACAAAUGCCCUGCUUCCAGGAAAAGCCUCUAAGCAUCAGGUAACAUCAAAUCGUACCCCAAACCGACACAGGUGGUCAGGUAGAGAAUACCAAGGCGCUUGAGAGAACUCGGGUGAAGGAACUAGGCAAAAUGGUGCCGUAACUUCGGGAGAAGGCACGCUGAUAUGUAGGUGAAGUCCCUCGCGGAUGGAGCUGAAAUCAGUCGAAGAUACCAGCUGGCUGCAACUGUUUAUUAAAAACACAGCACUGUGCAAACACGAAAGUGGACGUAUACGGUGUGACGCCUGCCCGGUGCCGGAAGGUUAAUUGAUGGGGUUAGCGCAAGCGAAGCUCUUGAUCGAAGCCCCGGUAAACGGCGGCCGUAACUAUAACGGUCCUAAGGUAGCGAAAUUCCUUGUCGGGUAAGUUCCGACCUGCACGAAUGGCGUAAUGAUGGCCAGGCUGUCUCCACCCGAGACUCAGUGAAAUUGAACUCGCUGUGAAGAUGCAGUGUACCCGCGGCAAGACGGAAAGACCCCGUGAACCUUUACUAUAGCUUGACACUGAACAUUGAGCCUUGAUGUGUAGGAUAGGUGGGAGGCUUUGAAGUGUGGACGCCAGUCUGCAUGGAGCCG